rnacentral:tRNA from 1 species
ACUUAAGUAGUUUAUUAAAAAUUUUAAUUUGUGGAAUUAAAGAUAUGAUUUAUCAUUUUAAGUA